AGUGAACGCUGGCGGUAGGCCUAACACACGCAAGUCGAACGGCAGCACAGUAAGAGCUUGCUCUUACGGGUGGCGAGUGGCGGACGGGUGAGGAAUACAUCGGAAUCUACUUUUUCGUGGGGGAUAACGUAGGGAAACUUACGCUAAUACCGCAUACGACCUACGGGUGAAAGCAGGGGAUCUUCGGACCUUGCGCGAUUGAAUGAGCCGAUGUCGGAUUAGCUAGUUGGCGGGGUAAAGGCCCACCAAGGCGACGAUCCGUAGCUGGUCUGAGAGGAUGAUCAGCCACACUGGAACUGAGACACGGUCCAGACUCCUACGGGAGGCAGCAGUGGGGAAUAUUGGACAAUGGGCGCAAGCCUGAUCCAGCCAUACCGCGUGGGUGAAGAAGGCCUUCGGGUUGUAAAGCCCUUUUGUUGGGAAAGAAAAGCAGCAGGUUAAUACCCCGCCGUUCUGACGGUACCCAAAGAAUAAGCACCGGCUAACUUCGUG
rnacentral:rRNA from 1 species